rnacentral:rRNA from 1 species
AUCGAACGCUGGCGGCAGGCCUAACACAUGCAAGUCGAACGAGUGGCGGACGGGCGAGUAAUGUCGGGGAAACUGCCUGAUGGAGGGGGAGAACCAAUGGAACCGGUAGCUAAAACCGCACACCAUCGGAUGUGCCUAGAGGGGAGUAGCUAGGAGGGGGGGUAACGGCUCACCUAGGCGACGAUCCCUAGCUGGGCGGAGAGGCUGACCAGCGACACUGGGACUGAGACACGGUCCAGACUCCUACGGGAGGCAGCAGUGGGGAAGAUUGCACAAUGGGCGCAAGCCUGAUGCAGCCAUGCCGCGUGUAUGAAGACGGCGUUCGGGUUGUAAAGUUCUUUCAGCAGGGAGGCGUUACCCGCAGAAGAAGCACCGGCUAACUCCGUGCCAGCCGCCGCGGUAAUAC